AUGACGCCGAGGCACCCCCGGGGUGAUGGCUCGGCUCUGAUUAUUGACAUGGAGGAUGCACGGCAGGCGAUCAGCGGAUCACUGGUGGUGGGGCGGCUUCUUUCACCCUUCCAAGUGAACCCGCGGGUCAUCAUCGAUGAGCUUCGGGAUUCUUCAGCAUGGAGGCUGCGAGGAACGGUCACUGUUCAAGAUGUGGCCAGCGAGGAUUGGAGGUUCGUCCUGAAUUUUUCCACCGAGGAGGACCGGCAGUUCAUUUUGAAGGCCCAGCCAUGGCACCAUAAGCGUGAUGGAGUCAUCUUCGCCGAGUUCGACGGCAAGGGAAGCCCAGCGGAGGUUGACCUUGGCGUAAUGCCAAUAUGGGUGCAGGUUCGUGAUCUAGAUUUUGAACUCAAAACUGAGAGUAUGGGCUGGACAUUAGGAGAACAACUUGGGGAUGUGAGUGUUGUUUCCCAUAGAGAUCACUUAAUUGUAGAGAAAUAUCUGCGUAUAAGGGUGGAAAUCCCUCUCCAUGAACCUCUUAAGACAACAGUAGAAUUUACUCCUUUGGGUAGUUCUGAGAGUGUUAAGUAUGAUGUUAGAUAUGAGAAACUUCCUUUGUACUGUGAAUGUUGUGGGCUUGUAGGACAUACCUCAGAGCGUUACUGUAGUAUACCUAAGGAUAAAAGGGUUGCUUCUUUUCCAAUGAAUCUUAGUGUAGAGGCAUAUUGGAAGGGAACAGGGGCGAGUAAAAGAACACUUUUGUUUGCCGGCUCCAACAGCAACAACUACUCCAGAGCUGCAGAAAAGAGUGUGGUCAAGGUGACCAAAGUCGUGGCUGACCUCACGGUCACGGAUAUGCUCACUACGACAACUACGAUGGCAGCCGCUGCCACGUUUGGUGGGCCAACCCAGGAGGGUGUCCCGCUCGUCCAGGAGGGCCGGGUGUAUGGGGCUCCAACGCCGUCCCACCCAGCCGCUGGAUCUGGUCAGGAGGACCAGCCAACACUUCCAAGACCCUCUGCUCUCUCUAGCCAGGCGGGCCAGGGAAAGAAGGUGGGGUGCGACUCUUCCAUUGGUGCUAAGCACGGCCAGGAGGGCCAUGUGCUCGAGCGCCACGUGGGGACGACUACAUCAUGGGCUCUGGUGCAUGCUGAUGGCCGCAUGUUCGAUGCGGCAAUCCACGGGAGCCAGGGGCUCAUCAUGCCGGUUACUGUUUCUAAUUCUGAUGUUGCGGCUGGCGCAAAUAUUGUUUAA
rnacentral:rRNA from 1 species